rnacentral:rRNA from 1 species
AGCAGCCGCGGUAAUUCCAGCUCCAAUAGCGUAUAUUAAAGUUGUUGCAGUUAAAAAGCUCGUAGUUGAAUUUCGAGAUCAAAUUGUUGGUCGUGCCUCGGUACGUACUGGUAAUUUGGUUUCUCCCUUCUGAAGAACCAUGAUGUCAUUAGUUUGGUGUCUUGGGGAAUCAGGACUGUUACUUUGAAAAAUUAGAGUGUUUAAAGCAGGCUCGCGCUUGAAUACAUUAGCAUGGAAUAAUGAAAUAGGACGUUUGAUUCUAUUUUGUUGGUUUCUAGGAUCGACGUAAUAAUUAAUAGGGAUAGUUGGGGCAUUAGUAUUCAAUUGUCAGAGGUGAAAUUCUUGGAUUUAUUGAAGACUAACUACUGCGAAAGCAUUUGCCAAGGAUGUUUUCAUUAAUCAAGAACGAAAGUUAGGGAUCGAAGACGAUCAGAUACCGUCGUAGUCUUAACCAUAAACUAUA